UUAAACAUAUGUAUAUAUAUACGUGAAUAUAUAUAUAUAUAUAUAUAUACAAAUAUGAUUGUAUGCAAGAAUGGUUAAAGGGACGAAUGAGUCAUGUGGGUCAAAUGGUAAUCGCCAUUUAAACCUUGUACUUAAUGUUUAUUUUGACAAGUUUUAUGCUUAUAGAUAAGUGUAAUGAAUGGGCAUGCAUUGUCACAAUUGGAAAGAAAUAACCAUUGUAAGUUAUAGAUAACGAGUCAAAAGGUUUUGAUUCGUGCAAGGUAUGUACCAAGGUUAUGUUUUCUUUUAAGUAGGGGCUUAUAGCUCGAUUAGAGAAGGAUACGCCAGAAAUGGGUAGUUGGUGGACAUAUGGUCAGAAUGUAUUUUACAAUUGGAUUCUGAACAGUUAAAUGAAGCAAGUGAUAGUUAUUAAGCAAGUAAUAGUAAAAUUAGCAUGAAGUAUUUGAUUUACUAUGUAGGUAAAACCGAUGUAAGCUAUUGUAGUAGCAAGAAACCUUAGUUGAAAGAAAUAAGCUGUGAGCAAGUUACAUGAAAGGUAUAUUACUAAAUUACUCUUGUGGGUCAAAAUGAAUGACGGGCUACGACCCGAACAAUAACUUAAGUAUGGACGGGAAGGGUAAGUUUUGCAAGAAGAACGGAAAGGAUGUAUUAAACUACUUGUAUGUAAGCAUGAAUGAAAAGAAAUAUAAUCGUGUACUUCAUUACAUCCAUGAUAAUUAAGAAACGUCAGUUUGACCUUGGAAAAUCAACUGUAAUGGGUCGGUGAAAUAAUUAAAAAAAACGAAGGAAUUGUGGGUGUUUAAAACACUAAACAGAAUAAAUUGGAAAGAAUGUAAUAAUGAUAAGUACCAACGGAAAAUGCUAACCUUGAUGCUAGGUUUGUUGGCCAUGUUCAUUUAAACAAGAUAAUGUUAGAAGGAAGCCCAUGAGCGGAAGCCAUUCAUGAAAGGAAGGGAUAGAACCGGCCUUGACACGGACUCAUUCAGAAGCGGGCCAAUCAGGUUCGCAGAUCGUUAAGUUAUACAAUGAAGGCGAGGUUAGUAAAAUGUUUAAUUCUAGAUUGAAAGGUAAGAAUCUGUGAAUUAUUUGUACACAUGAAUGAAAUGAAUGGUAGGACAAAUAUGGUCUAGUAUGAAAUAACUGACUAGCACUGGUCAUCUUUAGAAAGUAUUUAUGCCAAUAAGAGGAAGAUUUAAGGACCCUGAAUGAAAACUUGGAACUAGUUGAUUAAUGCUCAUAUGUUGCUCUUUGCACGACAUGACGGGUUAGUAUAAGGAAGUAAUGUGAAAGAUUAAAUAUAAGGUUAGACAUAAGGUUGUAAGUAGUUCAAGUGGUGGUAGAAAUGUAGAUUAAUGAUUGAUCCUCAUGACAAGUACGGAUAAUGAGAUAUAAAAAUGAUAGUUAUGUUAGAAUGUUGAUACUUGGAUGUUUACGGUAAUGCGUACUAUUAUACGCUCACUUCACAUAGGGACAUGAAGGAACCUAGAAAGGAUGUUAGUUUCAAAUUAUGGAAUAUGGGAUGUGUCACAAACGUCAAUUCCUCACAACAUACUUAUGUAAGUCGUCCAGUGUAACCUGAAUGAAUGAACGAACGAAGAGUGAGACUAGACGGGUUAUAGAAGAAAUGAAAGAGGUUUCGGGGACGAAACCUUCUUUAAGGGGGGUAGAUUUGUAACACCCCAAAAACUCGAAUUAUUCAAUUACAAGUAUAUACCACGUUUAAAAGAAGGAAAUGAAAUAACUAGGUUAUUAAACCUAGUUAUAUGCUUGGUUAAAAUAAAUAAGGAUAGGAAAUUAAGUUAACUAUGAACAAAUGACAAACUUGAGGGGUUGAUUUGGAAAAGAUGGAAAGAUGAAAUAUAAAAUAAAAAUAAAAACUCAAAAACACACACUGAGUGUGUGUGGGGUGCGUACGAUCGCACAGGAGAAGAGGCAGAAAGGGGUACAAACCCUAAUUCAAGAUAAACCUUCAAAUUGAAAGGGGAAACUGGCUCUAAUCGGAUGCAUGGACCUAGAUUCUUAAUCAUCUAGACUUUCUACACAUGAGCUCGACUCUUGACAAACUAUAUGGGAUCUUGGAGAAGAAUGGGUUAAAUGGGUCAAGUACGCAAAGAAGCUCUAAUGGACACAAAGUAAGUAAGCUUACAUCUUUUGUAGAAUAUGAAUUUGUUUUUAUGAACUAUAAAUAUGAUAAAAUCGAAAUGCGGUUUCCGACGCAAUAUGGUACAUGUCGGAAUAUAUAUAAUCGAUAAAAACCAUGGUUAAUAGUAAAAAAGGGCAAAUUGGUAAUUUAGUCAUGAAUGACUAAGAUUUAAUGAGUUUUCGUUAAGGUUACCUUAUAGUGUAACUAAUAAAAGAAAUAGCGGGGUAAAAUCCGAAAUGGGUCGUAUGCGUGAAUUUGAAAUUAAAAUAUCAAGUUUUGUAAACAUCAAUAUUUGGUCAGUCAGACCACACGGGCCAAAUGGUAGUAAUAAUACCAUUUGACAAAUUCGACUAAUGUUUGGUUGGCAAGUCACUUGUUCAUAGGAACGAAUAGCAAUUUGGAUAAUUGCGUUGCCAUAAAGUUUCAACUAAUAAAGUGAGGUAUAAAAACGGGUCUAUGCGUUGACUCGAGCCAGGUACGCGACGAAACGUUUUGUUGUUGUUAAUUGUUAAUACGUAAAUCUUAUAUAUUGAUGAUAUAUGAAAGUUCGAGAUGUAAAAAUGUUUGAUUUGUCUAUAAUAAGGAUUUAUGAUAGACAAAUCAACGGGUUGAGCAAUAAUAGGUGCAAACCGGGUAAAUGGGUGCACAAUUCCAUAAGUGCUAAGCCCGGGGUUAUGGGUAAAGAAACAUUAAACACACAAGCCGGUAGUCGAAGCGAGAAUGCGAGUAGAAUAAAGGAUUUGGGGACGGGUUGUCAAAUUGAGUAUUAAGUCCCAUGCAUAGGAAUGUGAUUGAAAUAGGAUUUAUUGCUUAUUAGCGAACUAACCUCGUGUAUGUGUUUAUACAGUUUAAAUCAGUUGAAGUAAUAAGUUACUAAACCAUUGUCUUGAGUAUGAAAUGAGAAUGCAGGUAUUCUUUUAACGUUAUUAUCAGGGUUAAAGAAAUUGGAAUGCACGAAUGUACACGAAAAGCUUAUUCGUGGGGAUUAGUAUGGGAAGAAGGAACGCGGACUGGCUAUUGAUUACAUAGGUCUAGUUUAGGAAUGAUGUCAUUGUAUCUAACCGAUGUAUAUGUAUGUGGUGAAUGCAGGUGGCGUGGACUUAGCAUCAUUACGAAGAAAAGAAGGUUUGAAGGUCGAGUAAAGAGCGAGGGUUGUACGGGAAGGAUCAGUCACAUAAUUUGACAAAAAAAAAAUAUAUAAGUCUUGAAGUAUUAAUAUAACGGGACGUGGUAAAUUCCUUUUUAAUGAGUGUAUGAAUUUUUGUCUUGGAACCUUCUUGUAAGUAUUAUGUCUAGUAAAGAACGAAAUUUUUGGGCU